UUUUCGAUUGAAGGAACUGGUGGAGUUUUCUGCACUGAAAUUGCACUUUUCUUGCAGAAGUGUUGUCAAAACGCCGACACCAUGUUCCAUUGAUUGGAACUGCAAUAAAAAAGUGCAAUUCCAGUGCAAUUUCGGGGCAGAGAUUUGGCACCGAAAAAAUUGUCGGUGGAGCCAGUGCACUCACCAACACAGACCAACACCAAUCACGCAAACGUCAAAGCAAUGUUCAAAAUGGAUGAGUAAACAAACCGGUUAUCGCAGAAAACGACAGGGAUAGUACCCUUCUGUCGGAAUCGUAUUUGGUGCUCAUUGGUUUGCAGGCUUUAGACUUCAAUUCUGUCAACUAGAGGUAUGCGUUUUAUUGAUUAGUGGCUCCCGUUUCCCGGACGUGGAUUACAACCGAAGGCUGGAAUUUCCCCAAAAUAGCGGUUCCGAAGUGGCGAUCAUCUCCAGAGCCGCCACCACCUCUACGUAAAGAAGCAGUUCAGUGUGAACCAAAAAAGGGAACCGUCGAACAAGACGAAACCGUCGCCCGUUAUCACUAUCAACGAGAAGGAUUACCAGGUUCUGAAAAGCUCGGUUCCGGUGGCUCCAGUUUAGUUUUCGGCCAAACAAAUGGGGACGGGCGUUGAAUGAGCGUUGAAGUUGGUGAAGCUCGAAGGCGAUUCCAGCAUAGUAGAAGGCUGCUUAAACGGAACGAAACUGUUGGCGAAAUUGCAAGGGAAUGAAAAUGUAGUAGCGCUGUAUGACUAUUGUCAUGUUCCGGAGUCUAACCAACUAAACCUGGUAAUGGAAAAGGGUGAUAAUUAUCUGCACAAAAUCCUGCAAAGCUACCGCAAGGAUAUCCCGCUGUACACGGUCAUGCAUAUUUGGUACCAGAUAGUGCAGUGUGUGCACUACAUUCACGAGCACGGUGUCAUCCAUCUGAAUCUCAAACCGGCUAACUUUCUGAUGGCAACCUGAUUGACUUUGGCAUCGCCAGCAAUAUCUCCUUCGACUCCACCAGUAUUAUGAAAUUUUCCCAAGCGGGCAUAUUCAACUAUAUCAGCCCGGAAGCUCUGAUUGACACUUGCACGGAGAAUCUGAUCACUGGGGUGCAUACUGUAUUUACUGCUGUAUAAGAGGACUCCAUUUGCCCACACCAAGAACAACUACAAGGUAAAUGUUAUCAACAAACCCAACACGACUAUUGAUUUUCCGACGUUGCCCAGUUAUUAUCCGCCGACUUCGCUCGAAAUGCUGCAGCGAUGUCUCAAGUACGAUCCAAAGCCGAGAGCUUUGACGGCGGAUUUGCUCGACUAGCCGUUUGAUAUGGUGAUUGGGAAAUGAUGCUGUAACAACUUUACAUAUGUGUAUGUCUUAUUUUAUUUGGAACGAAAUAUAUUAUGUAUUUACGUAUUUCAUUGGUUGUUUUCCACACCUCUUCCAUCAGAUCUUUGAGUGUGACCUCCUCCAAGUUCUCUUUUAGCUUUUCUUCCGGCAUUCGCGCUACAUGUUGGUAUACUUGGUACAGUUCGUGGUGGCAGAAAUCACUAACGAACCGAUACAUACACAGGAGUAAAAUGUUGCGAAAGUGGCUUGGAAUUCUAAUGGUCGAUGUUCUAGAUCCUCUGCAUAACCGACUCGAGUCGCAAGGAACCAAUUUGCCGGGAGUGACACCACUGCUUGAUGAGUAGCAUUC